GGACUGGCGAUUGGGACUAAGUCGUAACAAGGUAGCCGUACCGGAAGGUGCGGCUGGAUCACCUCCUUUCUAAGGAG
rnacentral:rRNA from 1 species